rnacentral:lncRNA from 1 species
UGUAUAUAAUAGACUACAUUUAUUGGUAGGUCUUUAAAGUGGUCUGUUAACUAUUUACAAUAAGAUAAUUUUUCAAAAUAGAGACAUUAUAUGUGUUUACCAAGAUUUUCUGUGUAAGUAUGCCAUUCUCAUUAAUUUAUGAUAGCAUGCUAUACAAGAAUUGUAAUGUUAAGUUUUAUUUUCAACUUUUUUCUUACUGAGGUUCAUCAACUAGCAAACAAAAACCCCCUACUUUUAAGCACCUCACUUUUUAACACAUAUCGAUCCCUGAGACGAGAACAUUUAUGCUACUAAAAGUAAAUAUUUUACUAUUUUUUUAAUAACUAAUAUACCUGUCAGUACGUGUGCUAGGUUAUAGUCGCUGCAGUUCUUAUUCUUAGUGAGGCACAUACAGUUCACCUUUGAUACAUAAGUUACAACUGUAGAUAUUUCACUUUAUCCAAAGAUUCCCAAGAGCAGAGGUUCUUGCUUUAGGGGGAGGCAGAGGUAGACAAAACCGAUGCAUUUCUCUUGAGUCUGUUUUGGAGGCUGUUGUAAAGGAGUCACAAGUAAAGAGGAAAAUGCAUUCUUGUUUUAUCAGGUGGUGCUGGUGUCUCAACUCAGUUGUCUGGGACUUACCAUUCAUAGUGUCCCAGGGACAACACAGUAGUUAAAACUUUUUUUUUCCAUUUGUUUUGUCCUUUAAAGAACACUUGGAUAAAUAACUAAAUUUUAUUCCUUUAGAAGUAAAAAAAAAUGGGUUUUUUGUUUGUUUGUUUUAACAGGGCAGCUGGAAUUGGCAGAUGCUUUUUCAAACAACCAAGCAAAGUGCAGGUGUGGGUUGCUUGUCAGAAAUCCAUUCUGAAGCUUGAGUGCAAAGGAAGCAGAGUACUAAUGAUGAAUACGAAUGGAUAUCUUAAGGAUAACAAUGGAUCUUCAAAAGCAGUGGCAUUCUGCUUUGGCCAUCAUGUUAUUAAGAGGCUGAAAAUCUACAUGAAGAGCUGA